CCUUGAAGAGAUGAGGAACAUUCCCAUUGGAUUGCUGCAAUCUCCUCACCGGCUUCUAGCUCGUAUCAUGAUGUAGAAUUUAUGGCCGCUCUCCAGAAACAGGAAUAUCACCAUUCGUAGGGCCAGAUUUUUAUAUGCCAUCAUCAGACGUGUUCCCUUUUGUCUUUGCACUGUGUUAGAUGUACUAGCUUUCUUGGAAUAUUUGUGUGAUUUGAUCAACCAUUGAAGUCUAACUUAGGGAAGAGCCCUAAGUUAAAGGAGUCCAUUGAAGAACCCAUUAGACAAGCGGUCUGGUAGGGAGGCGUUCACGUAUAGGUAUAUGUCAGAGUUAAAGGUACACUGAUGGUUUGAAGGAUAUAGACCCAGAUCAGGCUGAGGAAAUGUUUGAUGCUGCUUCUAGAUACUGUUAUUUUCUCUUAAGCGUGCUGUAGCUGAUGCACUGUUGCCGCACCUGGAAAUGGUCUCACCCGCAGAGUUGUGCCAUUGGCUGAUAUUAUCAGACAUGAUUUAGAGCAGUUGUUGAAUUUCAAUGGUGCAGAAUAAGGCUGAUAUAUAUACAACAGGAUGUCAAACAGAACAUGCAAUAUGAUGUUUUUUUUUUUUUUUUUUUUAAAGUAUUUUGUGAUUAAGGAAUUGAAGCAAUGGUACUA